UACCUACGGGGGGCUGCAGUGGGGAAUAUUGGACAAUGGGCGAAAGCCUGAUCCAGCCAUGCCGCGUGUGUGAAGAAGGUCUUCGGAUUGUAAAGCACUUUAAGUUGGGAGGAAGGGCAGUAAGCUAAUACCUUGCUGUUUUGACGUUACCAACAGAAUAAGCACCGGCUAACUCUGUGCCAGCAGCCGCGGUAAUACAGAGGGUGCAAGCGUUAAUCGGAAUUACUGGGCGUAAAGCGCGCGUAGGUGGUUCAGCAAGUUGGAUGUGAAAUCCCCGGGCUCAACCUGGGAACUGCAUCCAAAACUACUGAGCUAGAGUACGGUAGAGGGUGGUGGAAUUUCCUGUGUAGCGGUGAAAUGCGUAGAUAUAGGAAGGAACACCAGUGGCGAAGGCGACCACCUGGACUGAUACUGACACUGAGGUGCGAAAGCGUGGGGAGCAAACAGGAUUAGAUACCCCGGUAGUCC
rnacentral:rRNA from 1 species